UAAGCCUAUAGAGCUCAUUAGAGGGUUAAGUCUGUUUGAAUGUAGUAUGCUUAUGUACUAUAACUCUGCUUCUAUGAGUAUAGGUGGAGCCCUUCACCUUGUCGCAUUGUCAUUCAAGAAGGAACACCUCCAUGUAGGGAAACAGACCUGGCUGAGAACUUAUUAGGCUGCCCACUGGGUCUGGAUCAGGUGGAAGAAACUCCUGCAACAUGGCCAUAUUAUCUUGACAUGCAUAAGGCAAUUAGGGUCCAAGCGAUCAACACGUCCACCUGUGCUCAUUGCCUCAUGCAUGUCCAACCCCACCAUUCUCCCAAGUACCUCAAAUGUUGCCUCGCGCUCCUCUCCAAGCCCCUCUAGUCUAGCCUCACCACCCUCACCCGAAACCACCCAGCCAAAAAACAACGGAAAAACAUGCACUGCUUGAAAAAGGAGGGGAGAAGAACCAUGUGUCCAGUAAAUCAUGUGAAACAUUUCUGACCUUGUAAAAAAUAUGUUUUCUUUUCA